rnacentral:rRNA from 1 species
GAUGAACGCUGGCGGCGUGCCUAAUACAUGCAAGUCGAGCGAACAGACGAGGAGCUCGCGCUCCUGAGGGUGGCGGCGGACGGGCGAGUAAGACGUGGAUAAGAAACCAAUUAUACUGGGGGGAUAUCGGGAAAAAGGUUAUACUAACAGAUAAUACAACCAACGGCAGGAAUCAGGAGUGCAUCGCGGCUUGCGUGUUAGUUAGAGAUGGUGUCGCGCCGGAUUAGCUAGUUGGUAAGGUAACGGCCUACCAAGGCGACGAUGCGUAGCCGAUCUGAGAGGAUGAUCAGCCACACUGGAACUGAGACACGGUCCAGACUCCUACGGGAGGCAGCAGUGGGGAAUAUUCCGCAAUGGGCGAAAGCCUGACGGAGCCACGCCGCGUGAGUGAUGAAGGUCUUCGGGUCGUAAAGCUCUUUUGUUAGGGAAGAACAAAUGUAUAAGUAACUCUGCACGUCUUGACGGUACCUAAACAGUAAGCCACGGCUAACUUCGUG